rnacentral:rRNA from 1 species
UACGGAGGAGGCAAGCGUUAUCCGGAAUUAUUGGGCGUAAAGCGUCCGUAGGUGGUUUAGUAAGUCUGCUGUUAAAGCGCGGGGCUUAACUCCGUAUCGGCAGUGGAAACUACUAGACUAGAGUGUGGUAGGGGUAGAGGGAAUUCCCAGUGUAGCGGUGAAAUGCGUAGAUAUUGGGAAGAACACCGGUGGCGAAGGCGGCUUCCUGGACCGAUACUGACACUGAGGAGCGAAAGCGUGGGGAGCGAACAGG